rnacentral:tmRNA from 1 species
GGGGCCGACCGGUUUUGACAGCGAGGGGCAGGGUGCGUAAGCAGGUCGUGCGUUGGAUCAUUAGCACGUAAAUCUGAAAAUCCAACUCCUAAAUGGCAAUACUCAGUAUGCCAUGGCUGCCUAAUCUCUAAAAGACUAGCGUAAGCCAUUGGGCCGCCGCACGCGUUUUUGCUUUGUACGCAGCCGCCGCCCAUCACCUCAACAAAGCAUCGGUUGUGCGUUCGUUGCGACGCACUGCUUAAAAACAGCAACUGGGAAACAGGUAGGUUCGUCCGGCUCCGGCCUGUUUCUGAGAUUCCAAUGCCGCGAAUAAACCUGUAGAAAGCGUAUUCAGCACUUGUUUGGACGGGAGUUCGAUUCUCCCCGGCUCCACGA